AACGCGAAGAACCUUACCUGGGCUAGAAUGCUGGGAGACCGUGGGUGAAAGCUCACUUUGUAGCAAUACACUGCCAGUAAGGUGCUGCAUGGCUGUCGUCAGCUCGUGCCGUGAGGUGUUGGGUUAAGUCCCGCAACGAGCGCAACCCCCAUCACUAGUUGCCAUCAGGUAAAGCUGGGAACUCUAGUGAAACUGCCGUCGUAAGACGCGAGGAAGGAGGGGAUGAUGUCAAGUCAUCAUGGCCUUUAUGCCCAGGGCUACACACGUGCUACAAUGGGGAGGACAAAGGGCUGCAACACAGCGAUGUGAAGCUAAUCCCAAAAAACCUCUUCUCAGUUCAGAUUGCAGUCUGCAACUCGACUGCAUGAAGCUGGAAUCGCUAGUAAUCGUAUAUCAGCAAUGAUACGGUGAAUACGUUCCCGGGCCUUGUACACACCGGUACUA
rnacentral:rRNA from 1 species